AGAGAUAGAAAUUCCCUUCGGGGCUUCUGCAAGGUGCUGCAUGGUUGUCGUCAGCUCGUGCCGUGAGGUGUCGGGUUAAGUCCCAUAACGAGCGCAACCCUUAUCGUUAGUUGCCAUCUGGUAAUGCAGGGGACUCUAGCGAAACUGCCACCGUAAGGUGAGAGGAAGUGGGAUGACGUCAAAUCAGCACGGCCCUUAUGUCCAGGGCUACACACGUGUUACAAUGGUCGGUACAGAGGGCAGCUACCUGGUGACAGGAUGCUAAUCUCGAAAACCGGUCUCAGUUCGGAUCGAAGUCUGCAACUCGACUUCGUGAAGCUGGAUUCGCUAGUAAUCGCGCAUCAGCUAUGGCGCGGUGAAUACGUUCCCGGGCCUU
rnacentral:rRNA from 1 species